CAAUAGCGUAUAUUAAAGUUGUUGCGGUUAAAAAGCUCGUAGUUGGAUUUCUGCCGAGGACGACCGGUCCGCCCUCUGGGUGAGUAUCUGGCUCGGCCUGGGCAUCUUCUUGGAGAACGUAGCUGCACUUGACUGUGUGGUGCGGUAUCCAGGACUUUUACUUUGAGGAAAUUAGAGUGUUUCAAGCAGGCACACGCCUUGAAUACAUUAGCAUGGAAUAAUAAGAUAGGACCUCGGUUCUAUUUUGUUGGUUUCUAGAGCUGAGGUAAUGAUUAAUAGGGAUAGUUGGGGGCAUUCGUAUUUAACUGUCAGAGGUGAAAUUCUUGGAUUUGUUAAAGACGGACUACUGCGAGAGCAUUUGCCAAGGAUGUUUUCAUUGA
rnacentral:rRNA from 1 species